rnacentral:rRNA from 1 species
GGGCCCGCACAAGCGGUGGAGCAUGUGGUUUAAUUCGACGCUACGCGAAGAACCUUACCUGGGCUUGAACUGCUGGUGGUAGAAGCCCGAAAGGGUAACGACCCGGAGCAAUCCGGGAGCCAGUAGAGGUGCUGCAUGGCUGUCGUCAGCUCGUGUCGUGAGAUGUUGGGUUAAGUCCCGCAACGAGCGCAACCCUUACCCUUAGUUGCCAGCGGGUAAUGCCGGGCACUCUAAGGGGACCGCCCCGGAUAACGGGGAGGAAGGCGGGGAUGACGUCAAGUCAGCAUGGCCUUUAUGUCCAGGGCUACACACGUGCUACAAUGGACGGUACAGAGGGAAGCAAGGCCGCAAGGUAGAGCUAAUCCCUAAAGCCGUCCUCAGUUCGGAUUGCAGGCUGCAACUCGCCUGCAUGAAGUCGGAAUCGCUAGUAAUCGCGGAUCAGCUACGCCGCGGUGAAUACGUUCUCGGGCCUU